UACGGAGGGGGCAAGCGUUGCUCGGAAUCACUGGGCGUAAAGGGCGCGUAGGCGGGGAGGUAAGUCGGGUGUGAAAUCCCUCGGCCCAACCGAGGAACUGCGCCCGAGACUGCUUCUCUUGAGUCCCGGAGAGGAAGAUGGAAUUCCCGGUGUAGCGGUGAAAUGUGUAGAGAUCGGGAGGAACACCGGUGGCGAAGGCGGUCUUCUGGACGGUGACUGACGCUGAGGCGCGAAAGCGUGGGGAGCAAACGGG
rnacentral:rRNA from 1 species